CAAGCAGUGGGAGCUCGCUUAGGCGUGUGACUGCGUACCUUUUGUAUAAUGGGUCAGCGACUUAUAUUCUGUAGCAAGGUUAACCGAAUAGGGGAGCCGAAGGGAAACCGAGUCUUAACUGGGCGUUAAGUUGCAGGGUAUAGACCCGAAACCCGGUGAUCUAGCCAUGGGCAGGUUGAAGGUUGGGUAACACUAACUGGAGGACCGAACCGACUAAUGUUGAAAAAUUAGCGGAUGACUUGUGGCUGGGGGUGAAAGGCCAAUCAAACCGGGAGAUAGCUGGUUCUCCCCGAAAGCUAUUUAGGUAGCGCCUCGUGAAUUCAUCUCCGGGGGUAGAGCACUGUUUCGGCAAGGGGGUCAUCCCGACUUACCAACCCGAUGCAAACUGCGAAUACCGGAGAAUGUUAUCACGGGAGACACACGGCGGGUGCUAACGUCCGUCGUGAAGAGGGAAACAACCCAGACCGCCAGCUAAGGUCCCAAAGUCAUGGUUAAGUGGGAAACGAUGUGGGAAGGCCCAGACAGCCAGGAUGUUGGCUUAGAAGCAGCCAUCAUUUAAAGAAAGCGUAAUAGCUCACUGGUCGAGUCGGCCUGCGCGGAAGAUGUAACGGGGCUAAACCAUGCACCGAAGCUGCGGCAGCGACGCUUAUGCGUUGUUGGGUAGGGGAGCGUUCUGUAAGCCUGCGAAGGUGUGCUGUGAGGCAUGCUGGAGGUAUCAGAAGUGCGAAUGCUGACAUAAGUAACGAUAAAGCGGGUGAAAAGCCCGCUCGCCGGAAGACCAAGGGUUCCUGUCCAACGUUAAUCGGGGCAGGGUGAGUCGACCCCUAAGGCGAGGCCGAAAGGCGUAGUCGAUGGGAAACAGGUUAAUAUUCCUGUACUUGGUGUUACUGCGAAGGGGGGACGGAGAAGGCUAUGUUGGCCGGGCGACGGUUGUCCCGGUUUAAGCGUGUAGGCUGGUUUUCCAGGCAAAUCCGGAAAAUCAAGGCUGAGGCGUGAUGACGAGGCACUACGGUGCUGAAGCAACAAAUGCCCUGCUUCCAGGAAAAGCCUCUAAGCAUCAGGUAACAUCAAAUCGUACCCCAAACCGACACAGGUGGUCAGGUAGAGAAUACCAAGGCGCUUGAGAGAACUCGGGUGAAGGAACUAGGCAAAAUGGUGCCGUAACUUCGGGAGAAGGCACGCUGAUAUGUAGGUGAAGUCCCUCGCGGAUGGAGCUGAAAUCAGUCGAAGAUACCAGCUGGCUGCAACUGUUUAUUAAAAACACAGCACUGUGCAAACACGAAAGUGGACGUAUACGGUGUGACGCCUGCCCGGUGCCGGAAGGUUAAUUGAUGGGGUUAGCGCAAGCGAAGCUCUUGAUCGAAGCCCCGGUAAACGGCGGCCGUAACUAUAACGGUCCUAAGGUAGCGAAAUUCCUUGUCGGGUAAGUUCCGACCUGCACGAAUGGCGUAAUGAUGGCCAGGCUGUCUCCACCCGAGACUCAGUGAAAUUGAACUCGCUGUGAAGAUGCAGUGUACCCGCGGCAAGACGGAAAGACCCCGUGAACCUUUACUAUAGCUUGACACUGAACAUUGAGCCUUGAUGUGUAGGAUAGGUGGGAGGCUUUGAAGUGUGGACGCCAGUCUGCAUGGAGCCGACCUUGAAAUACCACCCUUUAAUGUUUGAUGUUCUAACGUUGACCCGUAAUCCGGGUUGCGGACAGUGUCUGGUGGGUAGUUUGACUGGGGCGGUCUCCUCCUAAAGAGUAACGGAGGAGCACGAAGGUUGGCUAAUCCUGGUCGGACAUCAGGAGGUUAGUGCAAUGGCAUAAGCCAGCUUGACUGCGAGCGUGACGGCGCGAGCAGGUGCGAAAGCAGGUCAUAGUGAUCCGGUGGUUCUGAAUGGAAGGGCCAUCGCUCAACGGAUAAAAGGUACUCCGGGGAUAACAGGCUGAUACCGCCCAAGAGUUCAUAUCGACGGCGGUGUUUGGCACCUCGAUGUCGGCUCAUCACAUCCUGGGGCUGAAGUAGGUCCCAAGGGUAUGGCUGUUCGCCAUUUAAAGUGGUACGCGAGCUGGGUUUAGAACGUCGUGAGACAGUUCGGUCCCUAUCUGCCGUGGGCGCUGGAGAACUGAGGGGGGCUGCUCCUAGUACGAGAGGACCGGAGUGGACGCAUCACUGGUGUUCGGGUUGUCAUGCCAAUGGCACUGCCCGGUAGCUAAAUGCGGAAGAGAUAAGUGCUGAAAGCAUCUAAGCACGAAACUUGCCCCGAGAUGAGUUCUCCCUGACUCCUUGAGAGUCCUGAAGGAACGUUGAAGACGACGACGUUGAUAGGCCGGGUGUGUAAGCGCAGCGAUGCGUUGAGCUAACCGGUACUAA
rnacentral:rRNA from 1 species